AAGGAUCAUUACAGAGUUCAUGCCCUCACGGGUAGAUCUCCCACCCUUGAAUAUUAUACCUUAGUUGCUUUGGCAGGCCGGGGCAACCCCCGGGGCUUCGGCCUUGGUGUGCCUGCCAGAGGAAACAAACUCUGUUUUUAGUGAUGUCUGAGUACUAUAUAAUAGUUAAAACUUUCAACAACGGAUCUCUUGGUUCUGGCAUCGAUGAAGAACGCAGCGAAAUGCGAUAAGUAAUGUGAAUUGCAGAAUUCAGUGAAUCAUCGAAUCUUUGAACGCACAUUGCGCCCCGUGGUAUUCCGCGGGGCAUGCCUGUUCGAGCGUCAUUUCAACCCAUCAAGCUUCGGCUUGGUCUUGGGGCCUGCGAUUCCGCAGCCUCUAAACCCAGUGGCGGUGCCUCCGAGCUCUGAGCGUAGUAAUUCUUCUCGCUAUAGGGUCUCGGUGGUGUCUUGCCAGUAACCCCCAAUUUUUUACAGGUUGACCUCGGAUCAGGUAGGGAUACCCGCUGAACUUAAGCAUAUCAAUAAGCGGAGGAAAAGAAACCAACAGGGAUUACCUCAGUAACGGCGAGUGAAGCGGUAACAGCUCAAAUUUGAAAUCUGCCGCAAGGCCGAGUUGUAAUUUGUAGAAGAUGCUUUGGGUAUGGCCCCGGUCUAAGUUCGUUGGAACACGACGUCAUAGAGGGUGGGAAUCCCGUAUGUGACUGGGUGCUUUUGCCUAUGUAAAGCUCUUUCGACGAGUCGAGUUGUUUGGGAAUGCAGCUCAAAAUGGGUGGUAUAUUUCAUCUAAAGCUAAAUAUUGGCCAGAGACCGAUAGCGCACAAGUAGAGUGAUCGAAAGAUGAAAAGCACUUUGGAAAGAGAGUUAAACAGUACGUGAAAUUGUUGAAAGGGAAGCGCUUGCAACCAGACUUGCGCGCUGUUGAUCAUCCAGGCUUCUGUCUGGUGCACUCGGCAGCGUUCAGGCCAGCAUCGGUUCUGGUGGUGGGAUAAAGGCCUUGGGAAUGUAGCUUCUUUCGGGGAGUGUUAUAGCCCUCGGUGCAAUGCCGCCUAUCGGGACCGAGGACCGCGCUUCGGCUAGGAUGCUGGCGUAAUGGUUGUAAGCGACC
rnacentral:rRNA from 1 species